AGAACGAACGCUGGCGGCAGGCCUAACACAUGCAAGUCGAACGCCCCGCAAGGGGAGUGGCAGACGGGUGAGUAACACGUGGGAACAUACCCUUUGGUUCGGAAUAACUCAGGGAAACUUGAGCUAAUACCGGAUAAGCCCGAGAGGGGAAAGAUUUAUCGCCAAAGGAUUGGCCCGCGUCCGAUUAGCUAGUUGGUGAGGUAACGGCUCACCAAGGCGACGAUCGGUAGCUGGUCUGAGAGGAUGAUCAGCCACAUUGGGACUGAGACACGGCCCAAACUCCUACGGGAGGCAGCAGUGGGGAAUAUUGGACAAUGGGCGCAAGCCUGAUCCAGCCAUGCCGCGUGAGUGAUGAAGGCCCUAGGGUUGUAAAGCUCUUUCGUCAGGGACGAUAAUGACGGUACCUGAAGAAGAAGCCCCGGCUAACUUCGCGCCAGCAGCCGC
rnacentral:rRNA from 1 species